rnacentral:rRNA from 1 species
CCUACGGGUGGCAGCAGUGAGGAAUAUUGGUCAAUGGACGAGAGUCUGAACCAGCCAAGUAGCGUGAAGGAUGACUGCCCUAUGGGUUGUAAACUUCUUUUAUAUGGGAAUAAAAUGUUCCACGUGUGUGAUUUUGUAUGUACCAUAUGAAUAAGGAUCGGCUAACUCCGUGCCAGCAGCCGCGGUAAUACGGAGGAUCCGAGCGUUAUCCGGAUUUAUUGGGUUUAAAGGGAGCGUAGGUGGAUUGUUAAGUCAGUUGUGAAAGUUUGCGGCUCAACCGUAAAAUUGCAGUUGAAACUGGCAGUCUUGAGUACAGUAGAGGUGGGCGGAAUUAGUGGUGUAGCGGUGAAAUGCUUAGAUAUCACGAAGAACUCCGAUUGCGAAGGCAGUUCACUGGACUGCAACUGACACUGAGGCUCGAAAGUGUGGGUAUCAAACAGGAUGAGAUACCCCUGUAGUC